CUAUGGAGAUCAUUGGUUUUCAGCAAGGUCCAGUGAAGAGGCAGAGAACUGAGUUAGCUGUGUCGUCUUAGGAGUUGGGGGCCAUCCCCAAAGACCUCCAUGGCCUCUGAAUUUAAUUGUGAUAAAAAGAAAACAGCAAAAGGACCCGCAUUAGUUGUCCCCACUGGAACUCUUCUGCCUUCCUGGACGUUGUUGUCCGAGUGGGUGGAGGAAGAACUUUGGACAGACUUCUACGCUUCCCACCCUCUGACACCUGUAGAAAAUCGUCAUUCUAGUCCAGAGGUGAGCCGUGACUCAAAGAGGGCCUGACUCAAGUUAUUGGUUUCCCCCUGGACUCCUGCAAACUCUACCUGGAAGAAGAAUCUGUUCUCCAUCUCUGAGGCAGUGGUUCUCACACAUGCUCAUCACAAGAGUCCCUCAAAGGGGCAGAGUCCCAGCUGGAAUCAGGAAAUGUGAUCACAGAAGCCAGGUCAGAGUGAUGUGCCUGUUGGCUUCAAAGACGGAGGAAAGGGGCCAUGAGCCAAAGGAUGUGAGCAGCCUCUAGAAGCUGGACAAGGCAAAGAUUCUCUGCCAGAGACUCUGAAAGGAACAGAGCUCCGCCGACAUCUGCGUUAGCCCAGUGAGACUCUUUUUGGACAUCUGGACUAGAGAAUGCAUUCCAUUGGCACGGCGUUUAGAACCUGAGUCUCUGCAAACAUGAUUAAAGGAAAGGAGUUACUAGUUUUUCCUCUCUUCUGGCUGUUAUCUGGGAAGCUCUGAACUCAGAGGAGUUGCCGAGUGGGGGUGUCCUGCAUGAAAGAAGAUGGGAAGGAAAGAACUCCCCAUUUCACCUUCCUAAGCAGUGGAGGAAGGGGAUCAGAAACAGCAAAUGCUGAUGAAAACUCCACUUCCAAAUACAUUCCAUGGCUUAUUUGUGGAGGGAAAUGCUUUUUACCUUUUGAACUUUCAGAUACCUGGCAAAAGCAAAUGGGUAAGCCUCCUUUUUUAUUUUUUUCCUUUUUAAUUAAACAGGAAAAAAUACCACACCCUGGCUUGGCUGGGAACCCAGGGCGGGGGUUGGGUGGCUCUUCCCGAAGACUCGCUCUGCACAGAUGUGUGGCUGGAGGCGACGGUAAUGGCGACAGUCGUGGUAUCUUCCUAGAAACCACAGCCGCUGGGGUUUCUGGAAGCGGGUGGUGGUGACGAGAAGUGUAACGGUUCGUUUCUCUGUGUACCAUAACCUUGCACCUUCUUGCCUAUAAAUCAGAACCAUUUGAAAA
ensembl:lncRNA